rnacentral:rRNA from 1 species
GAUGAACGCUAGCUACAGGCUUAACACAUGCAAGUCGAGGGGCAGCGCAGUGUAGCAAUACAUGGGCGGCGACCGGCGCACGGGUGCGUAACGCGUAUCCAACCUUCCCGUUACUCAGGGAUAGCCUUCCGAAAGGGAGAUUAAUACCUGAUGGUGUUUGAAUUCCGCAUGUUAUUCAAACUAAAGAUUUAUCGGUAACGGAUGGGGAUGCGUGACAUUAGAUAGUAGGCGGGGUAACGGCCCACCUAGUCUACGAUGUCUAGGGGUUCUGAGGGGAAGGUCCCCCACACUGGAACUGAGACACGGUCCAGACUCCUACGGGAGGCAGCAGUGAGGAAUAUUGGUCAAUGGUCGGAAGACUGAACCAGCCAAGUAGCGUGAAGGAUGAAGGUUCUAUGGAUUGUAAACUUCUUUUAUACGGGAAUAAAACCUCCCACGUGUGGGAGCUUGUAUGUACCGUAUGAAUAAGCAUCGGCUAACUCCGUGCCAGCCGCCGCAGUAACAC